GAUGAACGCUGGCGGCAUGCCUUACACAUGCAAGUCGAACGGCAGCGGGCCUUCGGGUGCCGGCGAGUGGCGAACGGGUGAGUAAUGCAUCGGAACGUGCCAUUGAGUGGGGGAUAACGUAGCGAAAGUUACGCUAAUACCGCAUAUUCUGUGAGCAGGAAAGCAGGGGACCGCAAGGCCUUGCGCUCUUUGAGCGGCCGAUGUCAGAUUAGCUAGUUGGUGAGGUAAAAGGCUUACCAAGGCGACGAUCUGUAGCGGGUCUGAGAGGAUGAUCGCCACACUGGAACUGAGACACGGUCCAGACUCCUACGGGAGGCAGCAGUGGGGAAUUUUGGACAAUGGGCGCAAGCCUGAUCCAGCCAUGCCGCGUGAGUGAAGAAGGCCU
rnacentral:rRNA from 1 species